CGGGGGAAUGGCCCACCUAGGCGACGAUCCCUAGCUGGUCUGAGAGGAUGACCAGCCACACUGGAACUGAGACAGGGUCAAAAUCCAUACCUAAGGCAGCAGUGGGGAAUAUUGCACAAUGGGCGCAAGCCUGAUGCAGCCAUGCCGCGUGUAUGAAGAAGGCCUUCGGGUUGUAAAGUACUUUCAGCGGGGAGGAAGGCGGUGCGGUUAAUAACCGCGCCGAUUGACGUUACCCGCAGAAGAAGCACCGGCUAACUCCGUGCCAGCAGCCGCGGUAAUACGGAGGGUGCAAGCGUUAAUCGGAAUUACUGGGCGUAAAGCGCACGCAGGCGGUCUGUUAAGUCAGAUGUGAAAUCCCCGGGCUUAACCUGGGGAACUGCAUUUGAAACUGGCAGGCUUGAGUCUCGUAGAGGGGGGUAGAAUUCUAGGUGUAGCGGUGAAAUGCGUAGAGAUCUGGAGGAAUACCGGUGGCGAAGGCGGCCCCCUG
rnacentral:rRNA from 1 species